rnacentral:rRNA from 1 species
AUACGGAGGGUGCAAGCGUUAAUCGGAAUUACUGGGCGUAAAGCGCGCGUAGGCGGUUUAGUCAGUCAGAUGUGAAAGCCCCGGGCUCAACCUGGGAACUGCAUUUGAUACUGCUGAACUAGAGUAUGGUAGAGGGAAGUGGAAUUCCGGGUGUAGCGGUGAAAUGCGUAGAUAUCCGGAGGAACACCAGUGGCGAAGGCGACUUCCUGGACCAAUACUGACGCUGAGGUGCGAAAGCGUGGGUAGCGAACGGGAUUAGAAACCCCAGUAGUCC